UCCGGUUCGGCACCGGCAGUCCUCCCAGAGUCCUCGCCAUGACGCGUUAGCAACUGGGAGCGGGGGUUGCGCUCGUUGCGGGACUUAACCCAACAUCUCACGACACGAGCUGACGACAGCCAUGCAGCAUCUGUGGUGCACCCUCGAAGGUCACACGUUUCCGUGCGCUUGCAGCACCAUGUCAAGCCCAGGUAAGGUUCUUCGCGUAGCAUCGAAUUAAAGAACAUGCUCCGCUGCUUGUGCGGGCCCCCGUCAAUUCUUUUGAGUUUUAGCCUUGCGGCCGUACUCCCCAGGCGGAUAACUUAAUGCGUUAGCGCCGGCACCCAGGGGGUCGCUCCCCCAGGCACCUAGUGCCCAUCGUUUACGGCUUGGACUAC
rnacentral:misc_RNA from 1 species